rnacentral:rRNA from 1 species
AGAGUUUGAUCAUGGCUCAGAUUGAACGCUGGCGGCAUGCUUUACACAUGCAAGUCGAACGGCAGCACAGGGAGCUUGCUCCCGGGUGGCGAGUGGCGCACGGGUGAGUAAUACAUCGGAACGUGUCCUGUUGUGGGGGAUAACUGCUCGAAAGGGUGGCUAAUACCGAAUGAGACCUGAGGGUGAAAGCGGGGGAGUCGCAAGACCUCGCGCAUUGGAGCGGCCGAUGCCCGAUUAGCUAGUUGGUGAGGUAAAGGCGUCACCAAGGCGACGAUCGGUAGCUGGUCUGAGAGGACGACCAGCCACACUGGGACUGAGACACGGCCCAGACUCCUACGGGAGCA